rnacentral:lncRNA from 1 species
UAUCUCCCUCUCCUCUCCCUCUUCUCGCCCCGCAGUGCUGGCCCUGCAGGCCCGCAGGCGGCGGCCCAAGCAGCCCGCGGCGGCCGGCAGGAGGGACAAGCACCCGCCGCCGCACAAAAAAAGCCAAGCUGAAUGUAUUGUUGAGGGACUCAAGCUUCUGGUUUCCAUCCUGAGAACGCCUGCAACACCGGUUUCCUUCCUGUCGUGUUUCAUCCUUCCUGUAUCCCAAGUUCCGCCAUGUCCUCCUCCUCAUGAAGAUUCAUGAAUUGAUGUUUUAAAAUGGUAGUACUAGAGCUGCUAUUUUUCAUGAAUAAAAUAUCUCCCUGAGUAAGUCCUUAACA